GAUGAACGCUGGCGGCGUGCCUAAUACAUGCCAGUCGAGCGAACGGACGAGAAGCUUGCUUCUCUGAUGUUAGCGGCGGACGGGUGAGUAACACGUGGAUAACCUACCUAUAAGACUGGGAUAACUUCGGGAAACCGGAGCUAAUACCGGAUAAUAUUUUGAACCGCAUGGUUCAAAAGUAAAAGACGGUCUUGCUGUCACUUAUAGAUGGAUCCGCGCUGCAUUAGCUAGUUGGUAAGGUAACGGCUUACCAAGUCAACGAUGCAUAGCCGACCUGAGAGGGUGAUCGGCCACACUGGAACUGAGACACGGUCCAGACUCCUACGGGAGGCAGCAGUAGGGAAUCUUCCGCAAUGGGCGAAAGCCUGACGGAGCAACGCCGCGUGAGUGAUGAAGGUCUUCGGAUCGUAAAACUCUGUUAUUAGGGAAGAACAUAUGUGUAAGUAACUGUGCACAUCUUGACGGUACCUAAUCAGAAAGCCACGGCUAACUACGUG
rnacentral:rRNA from 1 species